rnacentral:rRNA from 1 species
AUGGGAACGCGAAGAACCUUACCUAGACUUGACAUCUCCUGAAUAGUGUAGAGAUACNUNAAGCCCUUCGGGGCAGGAACAGGUGNGGUUGUGUCACUCGUGUCGUGAGAUGUUUGGGUUAAGUCCCGCAACGAGCGCAACCCUUAUUACUAGUUGCUACCAUUAAGUUGAGCACUCUAGUGAGACUGCCCGGGUUAACCGGGAGGAAGGCGGGGAUGACGUCAAAUCAUCAUGCCCCUUAUGUCUAGGGCAACACACGUGCUACAAUGGUGAGUACAGAUAGAUGCGAUACCGCAAGGUGGAGCCAAACUCUAAAACUCAUCCCAGUUCGGAUUGUAGGCUGCAACUCGCCUACAUGAAGUUGGAGUUGCUAGUAAUCGCGAAUCAGAAUGUCGCGGUGAAUACGUUCCCGGG